rnacentral:rRNA from 1 species
GACGAACGCUGGCGGCGUGCUUAACACAUGCAAGUCGAACGGAAAGGCCCUGCUUUUGUGGGGUGCUCGAGUGGCGAACGGGUGAGUAACACGUGAGUAACCUGCCCUUGACUUUGGGAUAACUUCAGGAAACUGGGGCUAAUACCGGAUAGGAGCUCCUGCUGCAUGGUGGGGGUUGGAAAGUUUCGGCGGUUGGGGAUGGACUCGCGGCUUAUCAGCUUGUUGGUGGGGUAGUGGCUUACCAAGGCUUUGACGGGUAGCCGGCCUGAGAGGGUGACCGGCCACAUUGGGACUGAGAUACGGCCCAGACUCCUACGGGAGGCAGCAGUGGGGAAUAUUGGACAAUGGGCGCAAGCCUGAUCCAGCCAUGCCGCGUGAGUGAUGAAGGCCUUAGGGUUGUAAAGCUCUUUUAUCCGGGACGAUAAUGACGGUACCGGAGGAAUAAGCCCCGGCUAACUUCGUG